rnacentral:rRNA from 1 species
ACACCGAAUUAAGUAAUUAUUCUUUAUUUAUUAAUUUAUUUAUAAUAAUACUUUCAAGUCCAUCUUAUAAAAAAUUUUAAAUUAUUUAACCGAAAAAGAAAUAUUAUUGUAACUCGCCUCAGUUCUCACUUAUUUGCUGCACUUUGAUUUGUAUUUUAUUUACUAUAAAUUUUUGAGCUUACCUAAGGUAAGCUCAAGGCAACGGUAUACAAGCUUUAUAUAGUGAGCAGAGUAUUCUUGGUGGUUAUCAAUUAUAUGGUAAGUUCCCCUAAAUAUUACAUUCAGCCGCCAUAAUGUUUAAGUUUGUGCUCUUUUAGUAUUAGUUCUUGUUUAAAAGUAAGUUAAUCUCCAUAUAGCUGGGUCUCUAAUCCAGGUUUAAUUUUGGAGGUUAUCAAAUAUUUAUUAUUAUUAAAUUUAAGUAAUCAUUAGUAUUUCACCACACAUUGAUUUUUAAUAUAAUUAUGAUUUCAAAACAAUUAAUGUAAAUUUAUCUACUAGGUAUGACCGCGGUUGCUGGCACCUAAUAAACCUAGGCUAAAUAAUUAUCUAAAUUUAAAUUUCUUUAAUAGUUUAAAAUUUUUAACUAGAACUUUUAUUUUUAUUCUAUAUUAAAUUAUACUAUACACUUACAAGCUUAUCACAUUAAAGUAAUAAAUCUAUGAGGGGUUUGGCCAUUUUAGG